rnacentral:rRNA from 1 species
GAUGACGCUGACAGAAUGCUUAACACAUGCAAGUCAACUGGUGGCGGACGGGUGAGUAAUGUCUGGGAAACUGCCUGAUGGAGGGGGAUAACUACUGGAAACGGUAGCUAAUACCGCAUACCAUCGGAUGUGCCCAGAUGGGAUUAGCUUGUUGGUGGGGUAACGGCUCACCAAGGCGACGAUCCCUAGCUGGUCUGAGAGGAUUACCAGCCACACUGGAACUGAGACACGGUCCAGACUCCUACGGGAGGCAGCAGUGGGGAAUAUUGCACAAUGGGCGCAAGCCUGAUACAGCCAUGCCGCGUGUAUGAAGAAGGCCUUCGGGUUGUAAAGUACUUUCAGCGGGGAGGCGUUACCCGCAGAAGAAGCACCGGCUAACUCCGUGCCAGCAGCCGCGGUAAUAC